rnacentral:lncRNA from 1 species
CAACGCCUUGGUCUUGGACUUCCAGCCUCCAGAACUUGGACUCUACCUUCCUUCCCCUGAUUCUCAUGAGAAUCUGAUCUUCGCUAAAGUGGGCAAGGUCCUGGAUCAGAAGAUGCCUGACAAGAGGCCACUAUCAGCAGCAACAGCACAGUGGGGACAAACCUGAGACCUUGAUGGACCGUGGACACCAGCAGGAGAGACAGAGGAACUUGAAGUCUAAAUGGGCAGACAAGACCAACAUACACAAAGCAGAGAGUGGCACAAGAGCCAUGUCUGAUGCAACAGUGACUCAGGAGGAUCACUCUGACUCAGAAUGGCCAAGCAAAGGUUAGCGUGUUAAGUCUCUGAAGCUGAUUAACGGCUUAACUCAAGUUUUCGCACCUGCAGACCAGUGACCCCCCACCGCCGCCCCCCCGCAAGGCAUCUGUUUGACGUCUCUUUAAUUUUAUUAGUGGCUUAUGGACAAAAUCACUUGACUUAACCUUUUUCAAGUGUAAGUUAUUUGGAUUCACAAGAGCAUUUUUCUCCCUGUUAUAAAUCAAUGAACCCAGUUAAGAUUAACUGCCUACAUGUGAGCUUCAAAAGAUCUUCUAUGGCCAGGCAAAGUUGAAAGAAACACAUAAUUCCAUAACAUGCUAAACACAAGUUGAUCAAAGUUUUUGGAGCUGGUUACUUAAUGCUGUACUUCCUCAUUCUCAAACAAUCUGAUUUCAAGUAGUUUGUGUCUAAAACAUAUAUUACUAGACUGCAAACAUUCAUCCUUUGGAAGAAAAAUCAUUUCUGUAUCUUAACUGGUCAAAAUCUAUGUUUCAACAGACCUAAACUAAACUCUGGGCUAAACAUUCCUGAACCUAAUUUGUGAAAUUCCAUAAUGUUUGGAGAUUAAAGCAAAAAGAAAUGAAAAUAAAAGAAACAUAGCUAAUGAUUCAUUUUAAACAUGAAAACUUCCUAUAUAGAAUAAUCAUGGAAUCCUGGAAGCAAAAGGAAUCAUAGGCCUUAGAUAUUAAACAGUGUGUUGGGGGAGGGGCAUUGUUCAAGUCCUUGGAAUUCUGAGGAAAUGUCAUGGGUGGGGGCAGUCAUUGCAGGGGAUGGGGGAGUUGAGGAGACCAAUAAGGUAGGGUACAACCAAACAGUCUUCCUUUUACACAUACAUAUUUUAAAUUUUAUGCUUUCAUGUAAGAGAUCAUUUGAAAAAAUUACACUACUUGAAAAUAAAUUGAAAGUCUCUGACCUAGUCCAGUAUUUCACACAAAUCAGUAUCUUCUAUGACAAUCUUGACAGGCAGUAAUCCAAUAUCUGUUUGCACACUGCUGUCAUUGUGAGUUCACUGUCCUGAAGCAGCUCAUUUCCAUAUCAGAUGUCUCAAGUUCUUGGGAUGCUUAUUUCUUCUAGAGUGCCAUAUUUAACCCCCUGUAACUUCUAUGGCCUACUUAUCUUCUCUGAAAUAAUACAGACUUUCUAUCUGUUACCUCCCUCCCUUAUGUGUUCUUUCACAAAUGGAUAAACUGUGAAUGCUGUUUUGUGUAGGCUAACCAAUCUCAGUUCCUCAAAUAUAUACCUUUUGAAUUGGAAGAAUCAAUAUCAUUAAAAUGACCAUACCACCCAAAACAAUGUAUAGAUUCAAUGCUACUCUUAUCAAAUUACCAAUGUCAUUCUUCAUAGAAUUAGAAAAAAUUAGUCUAAAAUUCAUACGGAGCAUAAAAAGAACCCUAACAGCC